rnacentral:rRNA from 1 species
GGASGGUGCGAGCGUUGUCCGGAAUCACUGGGCGUAAAGGGCGCGUAGGUGGCUCGUUAAGUGGUCGGUGAAAUCCCGGGGCUCMACUCCGGGGCUGCCGGUCAGACUGGCGGGCUAGAGCACGGUAGGGGCAGAUGGAAUUCCCGGUGUAGCGGUGGAAUGCGUAGAUAUCGGGAAGAACACCAGUGGCGAAGGCGUUCUGCUGGGCCGUUGCUGACACUGAGGCGCGACAGCGUGGGGAGCAAACAGGAUUAGAUACCCUGGUAGUCCACGCCGUAAACGAUGGGCACUAGGCGUCGGGGGGAGCGACCCUCCCGGUGCCGUCGCUAACGCAGUAAGUGCCCCGCCUGGGGAGUACGGCCGCAAGGCUG